CCUACGGGUGGCAGCAGUGGGGAAUAUUGGACAAUGGGGGGAACCCUGAUCCAGCGACGCCGCGUGAGUGAAGAAGUAUUUCGGUAUGUAAAGCUCUGUCAGCAGGGAAGAAAGAAAUGACAGUACCUGACCAAUAAGCCCCGGCUAACUACGUGCAAGCAGCCGCGGUAAGACGGAGGGGGCAAGCGUUAGCCGGAAUUACUGGGUGUAAAGGUAGCGUAGACGGUUAAGUAGGUCUGGAGGGAAAGGCCGGGGCCCAACCCCGGGACUGCCCUGGAAACUAUUGAACUGGAGUGCAGGAGAGGUAAGCGGAAUGCCUAGUGUAGCGGUGAAAUGCGUAGAUAUCAGGCGGAACACCAGUUGCGAAGGCGGCUUACUGGACUGUAACUGACGUUGAGGCUCGAAAGCGUGGGGAGCAAACAGGAUUAGAUACCCGAGUAGUC
rnacentral:rRNA from 1 species